GACGAACGCUGGCGGCGUGCUUAACACAUGCAAGUCGAACGGAAAGGCCCUGCUUUUGUGGGGUGCUCGAGUGGCGAACGGGUGAGUAACACGUGAGUAACCUGCCCUUGACUUUGGGAUAACUUCAGGAAACUGGGGCUAAUACCGGAUAGGAGCUCCUGCUGCAUGGUGGGGGUUGGAAAGUUUCGGCGGUUGGGGAUGGACUCGCGGCUUAUCAGCUUGUUGGUGGGGUAGUGGCUUACCAAGGCUUUGACGGGUAGCCGGCCUGAGAGGGUGACCGGCCACAUUGGGCCUGAGGUACGGCCCAGACUCCUACGGGAGGCAGCAGUGGGGAAUAUUGCACAAUGGGCGGAAGCCUGAUGCAGCGACGCCGCGUGGGGGAUGACGGCCUUCGGGUUGUAAACGCCUUUCGCCAGGGACGAAGCGCAAGUGACGGUACCGGGAGAAGAAACACCGGCUAACUACGUG
rnacentral:rRNA from 1 species